UAUAAGCAUGGCUCAGCCUCGAAGAAACAUGCAGUACAACCAAGUAAGCCAGUGGUACAAGGCUUCAUUCUCAAGCUAAUGUUGUUCUCUACCAUUGUAUCUGCUCAUAUUCAUGCAUGCAGCCAAACCGAACACACUUCUCUCUUGUCGGUUGCCCUUACUCUUUCUUCUCCUUCCUUAAACUGGACUUCUAGUAAUUGUUGCUAUUGGGAGGGCAUUACUUGUAAUCGAGAUGGUUGGGUACCCAAUUGCAGUUACCCUCCAAAGGGCUCAAACUAAAAGGAGGUAUUUUUCCCUUAUCAUCACUUGCAAAUCUCACACCCCUCACUCACUUGAAUCUCUCACAUAAUUCCCUUUCAGGUUCUCUAGAUCAAACUGGACUCUUCUUGUCCUUGAAUGAUCUCGAAAUCCUAGAUUUAAGCUAUAACCUUCUCUUUGGAGAGUUGCCAUUUUCUCCCCUAUCCAGUCAUAUCCGGAUUUCAAAAUCUUCGAGUUUUAGAUUUGAGUUCAUGUAACCUUGGUGGUAAAAUUCCUUCAUGGCUAUAGAAGCUCAAAAAGUUACAGGUCUUGGAUAUGAAUCACAACAGAAUCACUGGCUCAAUUCCAAGUUGGCUGGGGACUCUUCCAAGGCUGCAUUCUAAACAUGCAAUUCAACCAACUUUCUGGAGAAUUUCCAAAGGAAUUGUGCAUACUACCUAUCUCCUCAAAGUGUUGGAUCUUGGCAACAACAACCUCUUUGGUAAUAUUCCAGACCAGUUAUCUUACCUCAAGGAUGUGGAGGUAUUGGAUCUCUCGCUCCAUGAACCAUUUGUCUGGAAAAAUUCCAGCAUUCAUCGCAAGUCUUCAUUUCUUAUCAAGUUUUAAUGUCUCAUACAAUAAUCUCCAAGGGCCAAUACCAACAAGCACUCAGCUCCAAAGUUUCGAUGCCUCUGCAUUUAAAUGGAAUUCAAAACUUUGUGGUGCCCCACUUACACAUGAGUGUCGGAAAACUAAGGGCACUGAUGCAAAUGAAAAGAAUAACCAAGUUGCAGAUAUGGAGCAUAAAAUACCAUGGUUUUAUGUUUCUGCUGCACUUGGCUUUAUCGUAGGGGAUUUUGGGGAGUCUGCGGUUCUUUAUUGCUUAGGAAGAAGUGGAGGUAUGUAUACUACCAAUUCCUGGGUAAUGUACAAGUCAAGUUCCAUGUGAUGAUAGCAAAGCGUAUAGACAUAAUGAAGAGAGGACCAUUUUAGAAGUUAGAAUGUACUCAUAUUGUACUUUUCAGUUUGAGUCUUCUUAAUACUCUUGGUUUUGCGAGAAAUUCUAGUAGCUACUCUUGCUGGGGAAGGUUUUGGUUUGGUCCCCCUUCUCCUUUUUGUAUUUAUUUUUUCAUUUUAUUAAUAAAUUUAAAUGGA